rnacentral:rRNA from 1 species
UGCGUAGGCGGGCAGAUAAGUCAGAGGUGAAAGCUCACGGCCUAACCGUGGAAUUGCCUUUGAAACUGUUUGUCUUGAAUCAGGUUGAGGUUAGCGGAAUGUGACAUGUAGCGGUGAAAUGCAUAGAUAUGUCAUAGAACACCAAUUGCGUAGGCAGCUGACUGGACCUGUAUUGACGCUGAGGCACGAAAGCGUGGGGAGCGAACAGGAUUAGAUACCCUGGUAGUCC